UACGUAGGGGGCAAGCGUUGUCCGGAUUUAUUGGGCGUAAAGCGCGCGCAGGCGGUCUGCCAAGUUCGGAGUGACAGUUUCCGGCUUAACCGGAAAAGGUCUUCGAAAACUGGUGGACUUGAGGACUUGAGGGGGAGACGGAAUUCCGGGUGUAGCGGUGAAAUGCGUAGAUAUCCGGAGGAACACCGGUGGCGAAGGCGGCUUCCUGGACCGACACUGACGCUGAGGCGCGAAAGCUAGGGGAGCAAACGGG
rnacentral:rRNA from 1 species